CCUCGGACUCUGCCGGGUAGUGAACUCGGGGCCGCCGGGCUCCAGAGUCCCUCGGGUCUCAGGUCAUGGCGAUCCCGGGGCCCGCGCCCGGAGCUGGCGCCAGAGACAGGGUUUUGCCAUGAUGCCCAGGCUGGUCUCGAACUCCUGGGCUCAAGUGAUCCACCCGCCUCGGCCUCCCAAAGUGCUGGGAUUACAGAGGCCCAGGUUAGAUCUGCAAUUUCUCCAGCGGUUCCUGCAGAUACUGAAGGUUUUGUUUCCUUCUUGGUCGUCACAGAAUGCCUUGAUGUUCCUGACCCUUUUGUGCCUGACCCUCCUGGAGCAAUUUGUGAUCUACCGGGUUGGCUUGAUCCCCAGUCAGUACUAUGGGGUCCUGGGAAACAAAGACUUGGAAGGGUUUAAGACUCUGACAUUCCUGGCUGUCAUGCUCAUUGUUCUGAACUCCACGCUGAAGAGCUUUGAUCAGUUCACCUGCAACCUGCUGUAUGUGAGCUGGAGGAAGGACCUCACUGAGCACCUCCACCGCCUCUACUUCCGGGGCCGUGUGUACUACACCCUCAACGUGCUGCGGGAUGACAUCGAUAACCCGGACCAGCGCAUCAGCCAGGAUGUGGAGCGAUUCUGCCGGCAGCUCAGCAGCAUGGCCAGCAAGCUGAUCAUCUCCCCGUUCACCCUCGUCUACUACACUUACCAGUGCUUCCAAAGCACAGGCUGGCUCGGGCCUGUGAGCAUCUUCGGGUAUUUCAUCUUGGGGACCAUGGUGAACAAAACUUUGAUGGGCCCCAUUGUGACGAAGCUGGUGCAUCAGGAGAAGCUGGAGGGAGAUUUUAGGUUCAAGCACAUGCAGAUUCGGGUGAAUGCGGAGCCUGCUGCUUUCUACAGAGCUGGGCAUGUGGAGCACAUGAGGACAGACCGCAGGCUGCAGAGACUCCUUCAGACCCAGAGGGAGCUGAUGUCCAAAGAGCUCUGGCUAUACAUCGGCAUCAACACCUUUGACUAUCUGGGCAGCAUCCUGAGUUACGUUGUCAUCGCAAUCCCCAUUUUUAGCGGGGUCUAUGGAGACCUGAGUCCCGCAGAGCUUAGCACCCUGGUCAGCAAGAAUGCCUUUGUGUGCAUCUACCUCAUCAGCUGCUUCACCCAGCUCAUCGACCUGUCCACGACGCUCUCGGAUGUGGCUGGCUACACGCACAGAAUUGGGCAGCUUCAGGAGACGCUUCUGGACAUGUCCCUGAAGUCGCAGGACUGCGAGAUCCUGGGCGAGAGCGAGUGGGGCUUGGACACAGCCCCACGGUGGCCAGCGGCAGAGCCAGCAGACACAGCGUUUCUCCUUGAGCGGGUCUCCAUCUCUGCCCCCUCCUCUGACAAACCCCUCAUUAAGGAUCUGAGCCUAAAGAUCUCUGACGGACAGAGCCUGCUCAUCACAGGCAACACAGGCACUGGCAAGACCUCCUUGCUCCGGGUUCUGGGCGGCCUCUGGACGAGUACACGGGGUGAUAUAUCCCCUGAAGGAGGUCUACCCCGACUCAGGAGAGACGCCCGUUGGGACAAGGAAAGUGAUGCCUUCCUUCACCUACCCCUUCCCUUAUCAAGGGCUGCAACCUGUGGUUUCAAAGCCUUCGCCCAGCAUUCUGGGGCCCCCACCCCUGCCAUCCAUGAUGUGCCCUGUCUAUUCUUUUUUUUUUUUUUUUUUUUUUUUUUGAGAUGGAGUUUCACUCUGUCACCCAGACUGGAGUGCAGUGGUGUGAUCUCGGCUCACCGCAACCUCCACCUCCCAGGUUCAAGGAAUUCCCCUGCCUCAGCCUCUUACGUAGCUGGGACUACAGGUGCAUGCCACAACGCCUGCCUAAUUUUUGUAUAUUUAGUAGAGACAGGGUUUCACCAUGUUGGCCAGGGUGGUCUCCAUCUCCUGACCUUGUGAUCCACCCGCCUCAGCCUCCCAAGGUGCUGGGAUUACAGGCGUGAGCCACUGUGCCUAGCCUUGCGCUGUCUAUUUUGACCAGCCAGGAGGCUCUGGCUUUUUGCAGACGGCUUCUCUGUUGUGCAGGUUCUGCUGAUGAUGAGAGGAUCUUGAGGUUCUUGGAAUUAGCAGGACUGGUAAGUGGGGGCAGGGACCCUCAGGACCCGAGCCCACCUGGGAGCACCAGCUACAGGUAGGCAGGUGCUGGCCCUGCUGUGCCUGGGCCCAGGACUGGAAGUCUGAACCUGGGGUGGAGAAUGGGAGUAUCAGUUGACAGUGUGUGCUGUUGGCCAGGUUUAGGCACGAAGGGGGUAGUGCUCUCAUUGGAGAAUUUUAAAAUAAAAAUAGGAUUGACGAAGGCAGUUUGCUUUUUACUGUCACCAUGCUCCAGCAAGUCUAAACAGUGUCAUUGGUAGAAUAUUCCUCUCUGCCUGGGGCAGACUGUCCCACACAGUCCCCCACCUUGGUAUGCCACUGGGGCAUAUAUUUGUCUUAGAGGUUUGUGUGUGUGCUGGGGAGUGAGGGAGGUUCCCCAUGAUGGCAGGUAGCAGGGCUGGCCAUUUCAUGGACAUCGUGCCCUCUGGGUCUGUUACAGUCCAACUUGGUGGCAAGGACAGAGGGUCUGGACCAGCAGGUGGACUGGAACUGGUAUGAUGUUCUUUCCCCGGGGGAGAUGCAACGGCUCUCCUUUGCCCGACUCUUCUACCUGCAGCCGAAGUACGCAG